AUUGAACGCUGGCGGCAGGCUUAACACAUGCAAGUCGGGCGGGGGAAGUUGCUUCGGUAAUUGACCUAGCGGCGGACGGGUGAGUAAUACUUAGGAAUCUGCCUGUUAAUGGGGGACAACAUCUCGAAAGGGAUGCUAAUACCGCAUACGCCCUACGGGGGAAAGCAGGGGAUCACUUGUGACCUUGCGUUAAUAGAUGAGCCUAAGUCGGAUUAGCUAGUUGGUGGGGUAAAGGCCUACCAAGGCGACGAUCUGUAGCGGGUCUGAGAGGAGGAUCCGCCACACUGGGACUGAGACACGGCCCAGACUCCUACGGGAGGCAGCAGUGGGGAAUAUUGGACAAUGGGGGGAACCCUGAUCCAGCCAUGCCGCGUGUGUGAAGAAGGCCUUAUGGUUGUAAAGCACUUUAAGCGAGGAGGAGGCUCUUUUGGUUAAUACCCAAGAUGAGUGGACGUUACUCGCAGAAUAAGCACCGGCUAACUCUGUGCCAGCCGCCGCCGUAAAAC
rnacentral:rRNA from 1 species